GGGCAGGAACGACUGUUCCCAUCACACAGACAUGACCCGGCCUGGUGGAAGGGAGACUGGCUUUGCCAGAGGCGCCCACGCUCAUCUGCUGUGACCAGGAACCCAAGACCUGUACAUCUGCAAAGGUCAGACAUCAUCAUCUUCAUCUUCAUCUGCACCUGGCUCCUGAGCGAGUUCUGUGCCCAGUGCUCUGCAGAGCCCCAAGCCCGCAUCUUGUCCUUGCAUCCCCACAGCAGCAGGGGAGGAAGGAAUCGCCAAGAACACACGGCGGAAUGAUACAGAUUCCAGUUUAGGAAUGAUCAAAAGCUACGGGAGAGGCUGUGACUCAUCUUAAUGCUCCGUUUUGAGAGAGACAUCAAAGGCCACCCCAGAUUUAUCUGUCUGCCCGGAGACACAGCUGUUCCCAGAAAGCAUUCACAUGCCUCAUGCAGUUGCUCCCACUCCCGUUUAAUGACUUUUUAAAGUUAUAAAAGCAAAUUGUAUUCAGGGAAAUAGUUCAAAAACUACAGUCAUGUAUUUAAAAAAUAGUUAUUACCU